rnacentral:rRNA from 1 species
UACGUAGGGUGCGAGCGUUGUCCGGAAUUAUUGGGCGUAAAGAGCUCGUAGGCGGUGUGUCGCGUCGGCCGUGAAAACCUGCAGCUUAACUGUGGGCUUGCGGUCGAUACGGGCAUCACUGGAGUUCGGCAGGGGAGACUGGAAUUCCUGGUGUAGCAGUGAAAUGCGCAGAUAUCGGAAGGAACAUCAGUGGCGAAAGCGACUUCCUGGACCAAUACUGACGCUCAUGUGCGAAAGCGUGGGGAGCAAACAGGG